CUCCGGCGCCUUCCCCCCGCCCU
rnacentral:miRNA from 1 species